UCCGCGGUCACACUGCUCUGUAGUAAAUAAAGUGCGCGAUUUUUACGCCCGCGUUUAAAAACGUAUUCCUAUGCGCCAUUGUAUGUUAUUGAUAUAGAAAUUGGUGUAUUAUCUGGCCACAGCGUGUGGCAAGUGAUUUAUUUUUAUUUUUUUUAAGUGCGUGAAGAGUUUGCUUCUCGUAAGGUGAUUGCCGCUUGGAAUGGAAGUCCAAAGAAUGGCAGCUUUUUAGUGCUUGUUAAUCAACAACAGCGAAUAGUUGUAAUGCUUCUGGCUCCUCGAAUCGUUUCUGAUUGUCGGGACGAUUGAUGAGGACCUGCAGCUGUAGGUGCAACGCCUCC
rnacentral:misc_RNA from 1 species